UACGUAGGGAGCAAGCGUUGUCCGGAAUCAUUGGGCGUAAAGCGCGCGUAGGUGGCUUCGUAAGUCCGCUGUGAAAGUCAAGGGCUCAACCCUUGGAUGCCGGUGGAUACUGUCGGGCUCGAGUACGGAAGAGGCGAGUGGAAUUCCUGGUGUAGCGGUGAAAUGCGCAGAUAUCAGGAGGAACACCUAUUGCGAAGGCAGCUCGCUGGGACGUUACUGACGCUGAGACGCGAAAGCGUGGGGAGCAAACAGG
rnacentral:rRNA from 1 species